UGAAGGCUGAAAUUCGCCUUCAUGAAGCUGGAAUUGCUAGUAAUGGCAGGUCAGCAUACUGCCGUGAAUACGUUCCCGGGCCUUGUACACACCGCCCGUCACACCAUGAGAGUUGGAAAUACCCGAAGCCUGUGAGCUAACUUAAAGAGGCAGCAGUCGAAGGUAGAGCCAAUGAUUGGGGUGAAGUCGUAACAAGGUAAC
rnacentral:rRNA from 1 species